AUGAGGUGCCCUGCUCAGCUCCUAGGGCUGCUUGUGUUCUGGAUCUCUGGAGCCAGUGGGGAUAUAGUGAUGACCCAGCCUGCACUCUCCAGUCCUGUCACUCUUGGAGAGUCAGCUUCCAUCUCCUGCAGGUCUAGUAAGAGUCUCCUAUAUAGCAAUGGCAUCACUUACUUGAGUUGGUACCUGCAGAGGCCAGGCCAGUCUCCUCAGCUCCUGAUCUAUCUGAUGUCCAACCUUGCCUCAGGAGUUCCAGACAGGUUCAGUGUCAGUGGGUCAGGAACCGAUUUCACUCUGAAAAUCAGUAGAGUGGAAGCUGAGGAUGUGGGUGUUUAUUACUGUCAGCAAGUGCUAGAAGAUCCUCCCACAGUGAUACAUCCCUGA